UACAGAGGGGGCAAGCGUUAUUCGGAAUUAUUGGGCGUAAAGGGCGCGUAGGCGGCCUGGCAAGUGGAAGGUGAAAUCCCUCGGCUUAACCGAGGAACUGCCCUCCAAACUGCUUGGCUUGAGUCCGGGAGAGGUGAGUGGAAUUCCCAGUGUAGCGGUGAAAUGCGUAGAUAUUGGGAAGAACACCUGAGGCGAAGGCGGGUUGCUGGGCUGACACUGACGCUGAGGCGCGAAAGCCAGGGGAGCGAACGGG
rnacentral:rRNA from 1 species